GUCGAGGUGGUGUAGUUGGUUAUCACGUCUGUCUAACAGAUCUCUCUCCAUCAAUAGGAGUUGAGUUUCUGAGCACAGAAGGUCCCGAGUUCAAGUCUCGGCUUCGAUA